GAGUACAUAGAACAAACGGAUCAUAUGGCUAAGUGCGACUUCUUGAAGAACUUAAAAUACCAGGCCGAGCAUUUACCCCAAUUUGGUCGGCCUUAAGACAUCAUAGUUUUCAUUGUUUUUCCUAUCAUUUUUGUAAUUUGUCCAUCUGUGUCCUGUUCUUCUCUGGGCACAUAUCCUUUGAAAAUACAAGGUACAAAUACUCAAAAUCCAUUUGCAUACAGGUCUAGAAUUUUUCAAAAAUUCUGAAAUCCUGGCUAGAGGUGUUGG
rnacentral:lncRNA from 1 species